GGAAUAUUGGACAAUGGGCGAAAGCCUGAUCCAGCCAUGCCGCGUGUGUGAAGAAGGUCUUCGGAUUGUAAAGCACUUUAAGUUGGGAGGAAGGGUAGUAACUUAAUACGUUGCUAUUUUGACGUUACCGACAGAAUAAGAACCGGCUAACUUCGUGCCAGCAGCCGCGGUAAUACGAAGGGUGCACGCGUUAAUCGGAAUUACUGGGCGUAAAGCGCGCGUAGGUGGUUCAGUAAGUUGGAUGUGAAAUCCCCGGGCUCAACCUGGGAACUGCAUCCAAAACUGCUGAACUAGAGUACGGUAGAGGGUGGUGGAAUUUCCUGUGUAGCGGUGAAAUGCGUAGAUAUAGGAAGGAACACCAGUGGCGAAGGCGGCUCACUGGCUCGAUACUGACGCUGAGGUGCGAAAGCGUGGGGAGCAAAC
rnacentral:rRNA from 1 species